UUGGCUGAUCAGUGUCUCUGAAUCCAAGAUUUGUCCAUUUGCAAGUGGAGACAGAAAUCUCUGUGGAUUACUGGAUUAUUGGGGUUUUUUUGAAGUAGGAAAUAGUGGCAGCAUUAUGCCACACUGAGUCUUAUUGUUGCCACCUUUUAUGACAACUUCUAGUCAGCUAUUCUUGACUGCGGAUCUUCCAGACAUCCAUUCUUUCAACUUUCCAAGAGACAACUAAUAGUUUAAGACUGGAAAGGGAAAAAUGGAUCCUGCUUUCAUAGCCUCAGCUCUUCCUGACGCUCACCAUGACUUUGGAAGAUAAAGGCAAAAACUAUCUAGUCUCCCAGUUCUGAUGAGCACUGACUGUAGAGAAGAUGGACUGUUUAUAAACAGCAUGACUCCUUGAAGAGUGUCUCUAUAGCUUUCUUCUUCUUUUUGGAAAGUUUUUUAUUGUUACUGUUGGCAACAAAAACAAAAGACAAUAAGGUCCAGAUAUGGCUCUUUCAUUGCCACUUAAGGAAUGUACUGUAUGAAAGCCCUACAGACUUCUUUUUUCUCACUCCAUUUAUUUAAAACUAUUUUGGGGAUGUUUUGUUUUGCUUUUGCAUGUCACUGUUGCAUCUGUAUGAGUGUAAGUAGUGGAACCCUACGAUUAAAUGGACACCAGGGUUAGGUGCCAUAGCAGAGAACCCAGUUCACAGAAGCAAAGACUGCAUUUGACAGCAAAGUGUGCCAUUAUGAUAAUGUCAAGAUUUUUUUAAUAGAAUGGAAAAUAGCUUAUUAUCUCUUCCAGGAACGCGUGAGUAGGGGUUUGGCCUGGGGGAAGGGGGUGUGUAUGUCUGUGUGCAUACACAUAUGUGUGCUUGUGUAUUGCCUGUUGUACAGAGCCACCUGUAAACAUGCAAAUAGCAUUUCAAGAUAACUUGACAGGUUCUCGAUGGGUUGUUGAGUUACCAGGCCAGUGGGUGAGCUAUGCAACAGUAGCAAGAAAACACACAUAGACACACAGACACACUCUCCUGAAUGUUAUGGUUUUGUAUCUAUUCAUGUUAUUAUGUAGCUGCCACACUAACCUUAACAAAUAGUUAUCCAGCCGAGAGCAGGGGCACUUUCACUUUAGUUGUGGAGUGAUCCAUAGUGAGUUCCAUAAUGGUGAUAAAGAACAGCAUAGAUAACCAUUAGUCUUGCUGCGGCCUGUUCAUUAUUGAAGGAGCAGUUCCUUAAGGGAACAUAAGUGGAGAUGAAGUCUUCAUCCAUCAUCAGGUUGUUUUAGACUAAAUAAACAGCCUCUCUCCCUCCCCUCCCCCCAGCCACCUCAGAAAAAUAAUUUUUGAAAGAUUUGUUGACUACAAAUAGAAAUAUGCAACUAUUAUCCAUUCACAGAAGUAAAUAAUUCAAUAAGCCAUCUGCAAGAGCUUUGGACCCAUUAAUUGACUGGUGGGCAAAUCUUUAUUUUUUCACUGAAAUUAAUAACUAGAUGAAGAUUAGCAAGUGGUUUGCAAAACUGCUCAGUGUUUUUAGCCUAAGUAAAUUACUUUCCAAGGCUCCAGUAUAGUUCAUUGCAGUUAUGGCUUAACUUAUUCUAUGUAGGAGACUUUGUUGAGUCCGGAGAGUUCACUGUUAAUUUUCUGUAUACUCUUCUUGGAGCCAAGCUGAAUGCAGGAGUCUAGGGAAUGGACUGCCAUUCCACAUUUUGAGCUCAGCAGUUGAUGUGCUCGACCUGCUUUCUGGUUGCAGAAGACUCUUCCCUACUGAGAUAUAGUGCAUCAAAGCCAGCUUAAACAGGACAGUCAGACACAUAUGCCUUGGGGGGUAGGGGGGACUCAAGGAAAAGAAUGUGUAAAUAUUGCAUUUAAAAUGUUUGGCAUUGACCAUAGCCCUAAAAUUUAUUGGGAGUUCUUUGUUCACCUUUGCCUCUUCUUCCCUCAGUUAUUUUACUUUCCUAUUUUUAUGACAAUUUUUGUUGGUCUGAUGAACACAACAUUGAAGAUCAAUAUUCCUUGACUCAUGUGGGUUGUGCUGAUGGCAGCACGGUCAAGGAGCCAGAGGGCAUAUACUGUGGACUGCAUCCAGGCAUACUGUAAUUGCAGCCAACAUACCAAACAUGACUUAGAUAAAAGUAAAAACACACACAUACUACCCAAUAUACCAAACAUGAUUUAAAUAAAGGGAAAAACACACACAUACUACCCUGCCCCCCCCCCACCCCAACAUCCAGUUGUUAAUCAAGAACUGACCCUCAUUUUUUCCUGGUCACAGAAGAUACAUCAACAGGACAUUCUUAACACAGCAAACCUCUGUACUUUAAGAAAUUGUUCUACUCACAACCUCACCGGUUGAUGUUUGUCCAGGUUUCUUGCUGUAUUAACUUUGUGAUGGAUCUAUGUAUUAAAUAUAUAUAUGUAUGUAUGUAUAUGUAUAAAAUGAAAAAGCUGGCUCUUGCCAGUGAACAGGUCUUCAAAGCAGUAUUUUUCUUUUACAUGACAUUUUCAUAACCAGAAAGAAGCAUUCCUGAAUAAUAAUUAGACAUAUUAAAAAAAGAGAGUACAUUUAUUUUUUUGUAUCACUACAAGUACGUUGGAAUAUGCAAGGACUAUGGUUAAAGUUAGAAUGUAUGAGGCAUUUGAUAAUUUAGUCCAUACUGAAAAGAAAAGAAAAAUCUUAACAGUGAAUUGCUUGGGUUGCAGAUUUGAAUGAUCUCUCGGUUAGAAAUAUAGAUUUUCUAUUUUGUUUUAAUUUGUAAUUUUUUUCCUCUCCAUCAAUCGUAGGUACACAUAACUUAUGACAUUUAUUUAUGGUCUUUUAUACCUAGUUUGUAAAAUUGUAAAAUAGCAAACUAAAUGCAAAAGUUUGCAUUUGAAAAUAAUAAAGUAGUUGCUGUACAAAU